rnacentral:rRNA from 1 species
AGUCGAACGCGAAAGUGGAGCAAUCCAUAAGUAGAGUGGCAAACGGGUGAGUAACACGUGGGUGACCUGCCUUCGAGUGGGGGAUAACUUUCCGAAAGGAAGGCUAAUACCGCAUGACAUACCGUGUUUCGAUACACGGAUAUCAAAGCGGGGGAUCGCAAGACCUGGCGCUUGAAGAGGGGCCCGCGUCCGAUUAGCUAGUUGGUGAGGUAACGGCUCACCAAGGCUCCGAUCGGUAUCCGGCCUGAGAGGGCGGACGGACACACUGGAACUGAGACACGGUCCAGACUCCUACGGGAGGCAGCAGUGGGGAAUUGUUCGCAAUGGGCGAAAGCCUGACGACGCAACGCCGCGUGGAGGAUGAAGAAUUUCGGUUCGUAAACUCCUUUCGACCGAGAUGAACAUCCCGCGAUCUAAUAAGUCGUGGGACUGACAGUAUCGAGAGAAGAAGCCCCGGCUAACUCUGUGCCAGCAGCCGCGGUAAUACAGGGGGGGCAAGCGUUGUUCGGAAUUACUGGGCGUAAAGGGUUCGUAGGUGGCCAACUAAGUCAGACGUGAAAUCCCUCAGCUUAACUGGGGAACUGCGUCUGAUACUGGUUGGCUUGAGUGCAGGAGAGGAAUGCGGAAUUCCAGGUGUAGCGGUGAAAUGCGUAGAUAUCUGGAGGAACACCGGUGGCGAAGGCGGCAUUCUGGACUGUAACUGACACUGAGGAACGAAAGCCAGGGGAGCAAACGGGAUUAGAUACCCCGGUAGUCCUGGCCCUAAACGAUGAAUGCUUGGUGUGGCGGGUAUCGAUCCCUGCCGUGCCGAAGUUAACGCAUUAAGCAUUCCGCCUGGGGAGUACGGUCGCAAGGC